rnacentral:rRNA from 1 species
AUGCAAAAUCUGGAAGGGUUCAGGGACGCCAUGGGACUGCACUGCAACCCUCAGAAAUCAUCAGUGGUGACGCUCAACUGCGACAAUGUAGAUCUAGUGGACGUCCUGAGAAACUUCGGCGGCAAGAGUGUAGGUUCCCCAAUCAGAUAUCUAGGACUCCCCCUCUGCGUGGGCAAACUUCGGCUAGUCCACAUUCAAUACCUCCUCGACCGCGUUCGCGCACGGCUGGCAGCAUGGAAGGGGCGGCUCAUGCCCAUCACAGGGCAGCGUGUGCUCGUUCAGUGUGUGCUGACAGCGCUGCCCGCCUUCACGAUGGCCGUCCUACACAUCCCAAAGAAAUUCUUCAAAGAUGUGGACAAGGCUCGAUGGUGCUUCCUAUGGGCCCAAGACGAGGAGAUCACUGGCAGGAAGUGCAAGGUUAACUGGUGGACAGUCACGUCGCCGAUCGACCGCGGCGGCCUCAGGAUCCCGGACAUGGAGCGGUUCGCGUGCACACUCUGGCUCCGCCGGCUCUGGCUGGCAUGGACCGGCCCAGCGCGGCCGUGGGUGGGCACAGGAUCACCAUGCGAUGACAAAGACCGGGCUCUCUUUGCCUCGGACACAAUGGUGGAGGUGGGCGACGGGAACCGGGCCCUCUUCUAG